UACGUAGGUGGCAAGCGUUGUCCGGAAUUAUUGGGCGUAAAGCGCGCGCAGGCGGUCCCUUAAGUCUGAUGUGAAAGCCCACGGCUCAACCGUGGAGGGUCAUUGGAAACUGGGGGACUUGAGUACAGAAGAGGAAAGCGGAAUUCCACGUGUAGCGGUGAAAUGCGUAGAUAUUAGGAAGAACACCAGUGGCGAAGGCGGCUCACUGGCCCGGUACUGACGCUCAUGUGCGAAAGCGUGGGGAGCAAACAGG
rnacentral:rRNA from 1 species